GACCCUAAUUUCGUUGGGGAAGAGAGGAAAAGAAAGAAGAAGAAGAAAAAGAAGACGAAGAAGACAAAGAAGAAGAAGAAGAAGUAGAAGAAGUAGAAGAAGAAGAGGAAGAAGAGAGGAAGGAGAAGAGGAGGAGCUGUACAUAGCUGCUGUCCUCCUAGUGCUGCUGCAUGUUGUUAUAUCCUACUGCUGCAUCUGCUGUCCAUGCUUAGAGCAAGCAAAUUGUGAGGUGCAUGAGCUGCCUAAGCUAAACUCCUACAUGCUUGCUGCUGUACCUGCAAAAAUAAGGAACCUAAGAUACUCGGCAAGGAUACGAGUGGACAGGAACUCAACAAAAAGGCAUCAGACUCGGGUAUCAAGGUUUUGAGGAUGGAUGGUAUAUUAGCUGUGUGGUGAUGGAUGUAAUAUUGACGGUCUGAGGCACAAUAUGGCUGAGGUUCUUUCUAGUACCAUGGGCUCAGAGGUGGUGGGACCGGUGCUGAGGCAGGAUUGGACUUCGGUGGCGAUUGUGAGAGAAUCAGGAGCAUUGUGCAUGCAACGAGUGCAGUGGAGUGAUUGGAGGAGAAUUUAAGUAGACUAAGGAUGUUUCAAUACUUGAUUAACUUCGAAACUUAACUACUUUAUUUAAUUUGGAACGGAUAUGGUUAUUUUAGGAUCCGCUAAUGGU